rnacentral:tRNA from 1 species
GGAGGGUAUAGCUCAGUGGUAGAGUGUGUGCUUAGCAUGCACAAUGUCCUGGGUUCAAUCCCCAGUACCUCUA